AUGAGUCCAAAAAGAUUUAUCCGUUGCCAUUUCAGUCCACUGAGUUAACUUCAUCUUUUUUUUUUUUCUGUUAACAAGAAGGGUAAUUUGGUCUUUUUAUAUGUAAAUCUGUUAACUAGAAUGGGAAUUCAACCAUAUAAAAUGACCGAAUUGCCUUUCUCGUUAAUAGAAAAAGUGGAUGAAGUUAAUCCAGUGGAUGAAAAUGACAACGAUGAAACCUUUUUAAACCCACAGAUAAAAAAUAAAAUCUUUAGACUAAACUAACAAACGCAAACAACAUCUACUAAAAUGACAUUUUACUCUAAUAAUAAUUUAGUCUUAAUAAUUGAAGACGUCAAACUCACCUCCCCCCUGAGUCUUACGCCGGCGCCAAUAUUCCGACACAUUUCCAUUACUACCCUCACCUGGAGGCCUACAAACUCCACAAUCACUACCCAAAAUGGUAAUUUCACUUCCACUAGUCAAAUUUCACCAGCUUCCGUACACUCCGCCCUAAUUAACCGUCACAAAUACUCUCAGUGACUACAAAUCUCAUUGCGUAUUUGCAUUCAUUCGGAGCUCAAAUUCACUGAAAUCAAUGGAGAUUCAGAACAAUCUGGAACAAAAUGCUGCUGUAAAAGGAUCAGAUGCUGAAAUUAGUGAUGUUGCGAAGAAGAAGAAGACGAAGAGGGUUAGUAAUUCGUUUGUUGUGAAGAGAUUGAGCUGUUUUAGGUCAUCGGAUUACGGUUAUCCGACGGUUGAAGAAGUGGAUGCUGACGGUAACGUUGAUAUGGAGUCGGAUGUUGCUGGUAAACGGCAGACGCACCUUGUUGUUAUGGUCAAUGGCUUGAUCGGAAGUGCUAAAAAUUGGAGAUUUGCUGCAAAACAGUUUUUAAAGAGGUAUCCAAAAGAUCUUGUUGUUCAUUGCAGCAAAUGUAACUCUGCGUUAGCGACACUUGACGGUGUGGACGUGAUGGGAACCAGAUUAGCGGAUGAGGUGAUAUCUGUGAUACAACGGCACCCAAAUCUUGACAAGAUUUCUUUCAUAGGUCACUCACUUGGUGGCCUAAUAGCAAGAUAUGCAGUUGCUAAACUCUACACACAAGAUUGCAGAAAUCAGUUAUCUCAAAGUAAUGGAAAUUAUAGAUCUGAGGAAAAAUCAAUUACACAAGUCAAUUUAAGCUCGGACUGUAUCUCUAAUGGAAAAAUUGGUGGAUUGGAGCCUGUCAACUUUAUUACUAUUGCCACUCCACAUCUUGGCUCAAGAGGUCAUAGACAGGUCCCUAUGUUCUGUGGAAUUAGAAGCCUUGAGAGACUAGGGUACCACACAUGUGGGGUACUUAAAAGAACCGGGAGACAUGUAUAUUUGAAAGAUAAGUUAGACGGACAACCCCCUUUGUUGGUUCAGAUGGCCAAUGAUACCGAAGACCUAAAGUUCAUAUCUGCUUUACAGUCCUUCAAGCGCCGCGUUGUUUAUGCAAAUGUUCUUUCUGACCAUCUUGUGGGAUGGAGCACGUCAUCGAUUCGUUCUCGAAGUGAGCUACCUAAGCGUAAGAAUCUCGUAAGAAGUGGUAGAUAUCCCCAUAUUCUGAAGGAAGGUGCAGUAAAUAUAGCAAAACAAGAAGGUUCGGUGGACCCACAAGCCAAUAAUCACAAGACUAGAACAGCUACCAUGGAAGUGCAGAGACAAUGCUUAGAGGGUUGAGUCAGCUGUGCUGGGAACGGGUUGACGUCAGCUUUAAAGGAAGUAAACAGAGAUACCUUGCGCACAAUACGAUCCAGGUAAAUACUCCCUGGAUGAAUUCUGACGGUGCUGACGUCAUACAACACAUGGUUGACAAUUUCUUGGUGUAGAUUAAAGACAUGAACAGCUCGCUGUGCAGACCGAUUGUAAGUGCAUUUACUCAACUAUCUGUCUUGUAUACAACAUCUGUCCGAUUUUGGAAACUUAAUUAUUGUUGUAUAAUUAUGUAUAAAUCUGCCCAUAUGGCUGGAAGAUUAUAUAAGUAGAUACGUGUAGAUGUCGUUAAAAAAAAGAGAUACUUGUAGAUGUUGUAAGGAUCUAUAAUAGCAUCGAUUUUGAAGUUAUACCUAGAGAAAUUUUAGAAACA